AUUUGAUGAUGUGGACAUUGUAUUUGUAACUCCUCAAAUCUUUCCCAAGCUUCAAAGAAUUCAACUUUAUGUUUUUAUCUAAAAGUUUGGAUUUUGUUUCUUAACUC
rnacentral:snoRNA from 1 species